GGGCGUUGUAAUAUCGAGCAACCUUCUGUCUGUAGGCUGCCAUCCGAACCUGAGCUAUCUCCCGUCUUUCUUCCAGUAGGUCGAGGUUGGCUCUAAGACCUUGCGAACUUUGAUGUUCGUCGAACACCACGACUCGUGCUGACGGGAGUUUAAACUCGAUGGGGAUGACGGUUUCCAUACCGAAGGCUAAAGCGAAAGGGGUCUCCCCCGUGGGUAGCCUCUGAGUAGUUCGAUACGCCCACAACACAUGAUAAAGUUCGUCCGCCCAAGUUUCCUUCGCUUUUUCGAGCCUUGUCUUAAUCCCCUACAAA
rnacentral:lncRNA from 1 species